CCCUUAGAUGUUCUGGGCCGCACGCGUGCUACACUGACCGGUGCAACAAGUUUCUUUCCUUGGCUCGAUAGGCCUGGGUAAUCUUUGAACACCGGUCGUGAUGGGGAUAGAUCCUUGCAAUUUUUGAUCUUCAACGAGGAAUUCCUAGUAAAUGCGAGUCAUCAUCUCGCGUUGAUUACGUCCCUGCCCUUUGUACACACCGCCCGUCGCACCUACCGAUUGAAUGGUCCGGUGAAGCCUCCGGAUUGGCGCGCACCUCGGUGCCGCCGAGAAGUUGGCUAAACCUUACCAUUUAGAGGAAGGUGAAGUCGUAACA
rnacentral:rRNA from 1 species